UACGUAGGUGGCAAGCGUUGUCCGGAUUUACUGGGCGUAAAGAGCGCGCAGGCGGUCGUUCAAGUCGCGUGUGAAAGCCCCCGGCUCAACUGGGGAGGGUCACGCGAUACUGAUCGACUCGAAGGCAGGAGAGGGUAGUGGAAUUCCGGGUGUAGUGGUGGAAUGCGUAGAGAUCCGGAGGAACACCAGCGGCGAAGGCGGCGUCCUGGACUGGUACUGACGCUCAGGAGCGAAAGCGUGGGGAGCGAUCCGG
rnacentral:rRNA from 1 species